rnacentral:lncRNA from 1 species
AUCAGGAUCAUUUCCAUUAUUUAACGUGCUACAAUGACUCCUGACCACCUCAUCUUGUCUCCUUGAUUCAUGGUCAUAAACUUUAAAGUUUCAUUAGGGGUAAUUUGGUCAUUCUAUCAUUCCUUGAAUCUUGGCUAUUGGAUCGCUCAUUACGCAGCAUGGGCAACUAAUAUGAUCUUUUAAUAUGGACUGUCCAUUUUGUAGGUGGGAAAAUAUUU